GGGUAUAUAACUCAGAGGAUUAGAGCACGUGGCUACAAACCACGGUGUCGGAAGUUCAAAUCCCUCCUCGCCCA
rnacentral:tRNA from 1 species